rnacentral:rRNA from 1 species
UACGAAGGGGGCUAGCGUUGCUCGGAAUCACUGAGCGUAAAGGGCGCGUAGGCGGCCGAUCAAGUCGGGGGUGAAAGCCUGUGGCUCAACCACAGAAUUGCCUUCGAUACUGUUCGGCUCGAGACCGGAAGAGGUGAGUGGAACUGCGAGUGUAGAGGUGAAAUUCGUAGAUAUUCGCAAGAACACCAGUGGCGAAGGCGGCUCACUGGUCCGGUUCUGACGCUGAGGCGCGAAAGCGUGGGGAGCAAACAGG